rnacentral:rRNA from 1 species
GAUGAACGCUGGCGGCAUGCCUAAUACAUGCAAGUCGAACGAGAGGAAGGAAAGCUUGCUUUUCUGAAUCUAGUGGCGAACGGGUGAGUAACACGUAGGUAACCUGCCCAUGUGCCCGGGAUAACUUCUGAAACGGAUGCUAAAACCGGAUAGGUAGCAGACAAGCAUUUGACUGCUAUUAAAGUGGCUAAGGCCAUGAACAUGGAUGGACCUGCGGUGCAUUAGCUAGUUGGUGAGGUAACGGCCCACCAAGGCGACGAUGCAUAGCCGGCCUGAGAGGGCGAACGGCCACAUUGGGACUGAGACACGGCCCAAACUCCUACGGGAGGCAGCAGUAGGGAAUUUUCAUCAAUGGGGGGAACCCUGAACGAGCAAUGCCGCGUGAGUGGGGAAGGUCUUCGGAUCGUAAAGCUCUGUUGUAAGAGAAAAACGACAUUCAUAGGGAAUGAUGAGUGAGUGAUGGUAUCUUACCAGAAAGUCACGGCUAACUACGUGCCAGCAGCCGCCGUAAAAC